rnacentral:rRNA from 1 species
GGGUCAGUAGGUUGGUCGUGCCACCGGUACGUACUGGUCUCACUGGUUCCUCCUUCCUGAAGAACCGUAAUGCCAUUAAUUUGGUGUUGCGGGGAAACAGGACUGUUACUUUGAAAAAAUUAGAGUGUUUAAAGCAAGCUAACGCUUGAAUACAUUAGCAUGGAAUAAUGAAAUAGGACGAUCGAUCCUAUUUUGUUGGUUUCUAGAAUUGACGUA